rnacentral:ncRNA from 1 species
CCAUAGCCAGGGUGGCCCGCAAGGGAGGGCCUGGACACGGUAUGGCCGGUUAGUCACGUGUUUCGAAAAGAACACCGGCAGCC